AUAUAGUGUAGACUACUGUACAUUCAUGUAACAACAGGGAGAGGACACCUCAAUGUUUAUAGGGAGAGGACAC